GCUCAGAUUGAACGCUGGCGGCAGGCCUAACACAUGCAAGUCGAACGGUAACAGGGAGCAGCUUGCUGCUCUGCUGACGAGUGGCGGACGGGUGAGUAAUGUCUGGGAAACUGCCUGAUGGAGGGGGAUAACUACUGGAAACGGUAGCUAAUACCGCAUAACGUCUACGGACCAAAGUGGGGGACCUUCGGGCCUCAUGCCAUCAGAUGUGCCCAGAUGGGAUUAGCUAGUAGGUGGGGUAACGGCUCACCUAGGCGACGAUCCCUAGCUGGUCUGAGAGGAUGACCAGCCACACUGGAACUGAGACACGGUCCAGACUCCUACGGGAGGCAGCAGUGGGGAAUAUUGCACAAUGGGCGCAAGCCUGAUGCAGCCAUGCCGCGUGUAUGAAGAAGGCCUUCGGGUUGUAAAGUACUUUCAGCGGGGAGGAAGGCGUUGUGGUUAAUAACCGCAGCGAUUGACGUUACCCGCAGAAGAAGCACCGGCUAACUCCGUGCCAGCAGCCGCGGU
rnacentral:rRNA from 1 species